rnacentral:rRNA from 1 species
CCAGCAGCCGCGGUAAUACGUAGGUGGCAAGCGUUGUUCGGAAUUAUUGGGCGUAAAGCGAGCGCAGGCGGUCCUUUAAGUCAGAUGUGAAAUCCCCCGGCUCAACCGUGGAGGGUCAUCGGAAACUGGAGGACAGAGUGCAGAAGAGGAAAGUGGAAUUCCAUGUGUAGCGGUGAAAUGCGUAGAGAUGUGGAGGAACACCAGUGGCGAAGGCGACUUUCUGGUCUGUAACUGACGCUGAGGCGCGAAAGCGUGGGGAGCAAACAGGAUUAGAUACCCUGGUAGUCCACGCCGUAAACGAUGACUGCUAAGUGUUAGGGGGUUUCCGCCCCUUAGUGCUGCAGCUAACGCAUUAAGCACUCCGCCUGGGGAGUACGGCCGCAAGGCUGAAACUCAAAGGAAUUGACGGGGGCCCGCACAAGCGGGGGAGCAUGUGGUUUAAUUCAAAGCAACGCGAAAAACCUUACCGGGUCUUGACAUCCCGCUGCCCGGUGUAGAGAUACGCCUUUCCCUUCGGGGACAGCGGUGACAGGUGGUGCAUGGUUGUCGUCAGCUCGUGUCGUGAGAUGUUGGGUUAAGUCCCGCAACGAGCGCAACCCUUGAUCUUAGUUGCCAGCAUUCAGUUGGGCACUCUAAGGUGACUGCCGGUGACAAACCGGAGGAAGGUGGGGAUGACGUCAAAUCAUCAUGCCCCUUAUGACCUGGGCUACACACGUGCUACAAUGGACGGUAC